rnacentral:tRNA from 1 species
CAAAAAGUAGUUUAACCAAAAUAAUAACUUUGGGAGUUAUAGAUCGAUUAUUACUAAUUGCUUUUUGA